rnacentral:rRNA from 1 species
CCCCAAUCUGUUAGCCAGCUCACACUCCAGUCCUCCGAACACGUACAGGUAAUCCCAACUCCCAAGGAAUCCCCAAAUCGAGCAGGCAGCCAGCGCCCAGCAAGACUAACCUAGCGGCCGCCGGCUCGCUGCCACAGAGCUCAGCCUCACCGGAACGCCAGCCACCGUCCUCCGGCCGCCGGGCACCUGAUCCAGAUCUGCCGUUCGUGGAUGGGCGAACCAAAAGAAGAUGUCCCGUGUGUGGGAGGAGGCAACGGCGGCAGAGCAUCUAGCUCAUGCAAACGCGCAGCUACAGUUUGCAAAAUCAGCAGGCGCAAUCAGCAGAUAUGCAGCGAGGACGGAAUAUUUGAAGAAAGGCCCAUGUCAGCCGUAUGGUCAUGAUUUCCCUUGCAACAUGUUCAUGUUGGAUUUUGUGAUUUUUGGUGGUCACAUCACCUAGUUGUCGAGAAUCUUGAACUGUUCUAAAUCAUUGGUUAUGUUAAUUUUCGAGUGCAUCUAGCUUUAUAGUUGAAUUUAUGAGAUUUGGUUCAACGGACUUGCAUUUGUCAAUCAAAAAAUUUGCACCUCAAUUGUUCCGC